AGAGAGAGAGAGAGAGAGAAUUCCUUUGAACACUUUAACGAGAGUGAGAAUUGGGCCAGAAAUGAUGGAGUAUGGUAUUUUGAUUUAUGUGGUAGUAGGGGGGCUCUUCUGGUGUUCUUCAGGAUUCUAUAUCUGUUGGCGUCUCAUUCCUUUUGUGGGGUUACAUGGGAGAAUGGAGAAUUAAAAAUGAACAGUUACAAUCACCUGUUCAAUUUGCUUGCUUCUAGUUAUUAAUGAUGCAUUUGUUUACUAUGGUUAAACUGUAUUUUGAUGGGCUUAUAUGUUUUUAUCUUGUGCUGGGGAAUGUCAGCUCAGAUUAGUACAUAAAUUGGAGGUUAAAUUCCGCACUUAAAUUUUGGGGAAAUUGUGAUUUGGGAUAAUCACCCGUCCCGGUGUAUGGGUUUUCUUCAGACUUGUUUUUAUUAGAGAUGCAUAUCGUUCCUAGCACAUGCAUAUCAUGGCAUUUUGUUGUGCUUAGUCCUUUACUAGGUUUAAGAUCAUAUUUUUUGAAUAACCCUACAUAAGAUGGAUACAAAGAGGUGCAGAAAUAUUGAUGUUGCAAUUCUUGAAAAAGCAGAGGAUGUGAGGGGAUGUGCUGUAUGCAUGUUCCUGG
rnacentral:misc_RNA from 1 species